CCGCAGGUCAUUGACACCGUGCCCAUGGACGAGAGCACGGAGGAGAUGUUCCGCUACUUCGAGCCGCUCUACGAGGUGAUCCACGACAUGCCCCGGCCCCCCGAGUCCUUCUUCAGGAGCCGAGGGGAGAGCCAGGGGCAGCAGGAUGGCCCCAGCCAGGAUGGCAGAGUGAGCAGCCCAGCUCCAGAGAGCCCCAGAGACACCCUGCCUGGGCAGCAGCAGCACGGGCAGCACGUGCCAGGACCUGGGCUGGCUCCUGCCCCCGAGGCACUCGAGGGGAGCCAGGUGACAAGUGACUCUGAGGGGGACACAUUCAGUGACACCCUGGAGCAGAUGGAGCCUGAGAAGGCUGGGCAGGUGCAGGGGCUCACCCCAAAGGGGGUCCAGGCUGGGGCUGAGCCCCCAGAGCCCCACAGUGCUGGGCAGGGUGAGCGGGGCGAAGGCAGAAGAGCCGAGGGGAGCAGCAGCACAGACCUGCCAGCCCUGGGCUCCGAGACAGGUGGGUGCAGAGCUUGUCCCUGCGCCUCCUCCUGCUGCUGCUGCUGUUGCCCACCUCCAUGGGCUGGGCUGGGGGUGGGAGGGGACUGAGUUUGGCUCCAGCACCCAUGGUUGGGUGAUCAGAGGCUGAAGGAAGCCACAAGUGUCCUGUGUCCAAAUCCCUUGGUCCCCAAGCAGCUCAGCCCUCCUUUGGCCGUUUCCUGCCAUGGUACUGAAUUGCCUCAGUUUGGAGGGUGCUCUGCUGGCCCUCCAGCAGCCAGGCAGGAGAUGCAGGGCCCUGGCUUCCCAUGCCCAGGUCCAGCUACACCAGCGGUGCCUUCGGAUGUGGGUGGUGCCAAGGGUGAGCUCUGCCCAGCAGAGCAGGGGUGAAGCUGGGCCCUGUGCCCUGGAGGCCUUGGGGACAGCAGUGCCACUCGCCUGAUGCCACCCAGCAGUGCUGCUGGAGUCUGGGGACCACCAGGCCUUGAGCUGUGCCACCCUGUGUGCUGUCCCCAGACAUACUGGGCUGCCCUGGGGUGGCAUUGCCACUCUCACCCGUGGGACUGGUGCCAUUGCCUCACCUGGGCACACCCCACGUGUCUCACCCUUUCCCCUGUUACUGUUCCCUUCCGGGCUGCUUGACCUUGUCCCCAGGCCAGGCUGGGCUGUCCCCAGGGCUGGCAGCAAGUCCCUGCCUGUGUCCUGCUCCCUGCUUGGAUUAUCCAGGUGUUUGCCAGGCUGCUUUGGGGCCUCUGAUGGGCCCGGGGGCGGCCAGGGAGGAGCUGCCCUGGCCCUGGGUGUCCUGCCCUGUGGUGGCAGGUGUCACCAGGUGACCCACACACACCACAGCACCCACACCGUGGGUGG
rnacentral:lncRNA from 1 species